UUAAGUGACUAAGCGUACACGGUGGAUGCCUUGGCAGUCAGAGGCGAUGAAAGACGUAGUAACUUGCGAUAAGCCCAGAUUAGGUAGUAACAACCAUUUGAGUCUGGGAUUUCUGAAUGGGGAAACCCACGUGCAUAAGCACGUAUCCUUACCUGAAUACAUAGGGUAAGGAGGCGAACCGGGGAAACUGAAACAUCUAAGUACCCCGAGGAAAAGAAAUCAACCGAGAUUCCGAAAGUAGCGGCGAGCGAAAUUGGACUAGCCCUUAAGCUUUACACGCGUUAGACGAACGGUCUGGAAAGUCCGACGAUACAGGGUGAUAGUCCCGUAGUUGACGACGUGUGUUCAGUGAAAUCGAGUAGGGCGGGACACGUGAUAUCCUGUCUGAAUAUGGGGGGACCAUCCUCCAAGGCUAAAUACUACUGACUGACCGAUAGUGAACCAGUACCGUGAGGGAAAGGCGAAAAGAACCCCUGUGAGGGGAGUGAAAUAGAACCUGAAACCGUGUACGUACAAGCAGUAGGAGCAGGCUUUGUCCUGUGACUGCGUACCUUUUGUAUAAUGGGUCAGCGACUUAUAUUCAGUGGCAAGGUUAACCAUCUAGGGGAGCCGUAGGGAAACCGAGUCUUAACUGGGCGUUCAGUCUCUGGAUAUAGACCGAAACCAGGUGAUCUAGCCAUGGGCAGGUUGAAGGUUGAGUAACAUCAACUGGAGGACCGAACCGACUAAUGUUGAAAAAUUAGCGGAUGACUUGUGGCUAGGGGUGAAAGGCCAAUCAAACCUGGAGAUAGCUGGUUCUCCCCGAAAGCUAUUUAGGUAGCGCCUCGGACGAAUACUACUGGGGGUAGAGCACUGUUAAGGCUAGGGGGUCAUCCCGACUUACCAACCCUUUGCAAACUCCGAAUACCAGUAAGUACUAUCCGGGAGACACACGGCGGGUGCUAACGUCCGUCGUGGAGAGGGAAACAACCCAGACCGCCAGCUAAGGUCCCAAAUUACUACUAAGUGGGAAACGAUGUGGGAAGGCUCAGACAGCCAGGAUGUUGGCUUAGAAGCAGCCAUCAUUUAAAGAAAGCGUAAUAGCUCACUGGUCGAGUCGGCCUGCGCGGAAGAUGUAACGGGGCUAAGUAGUAAACCGAAGCUGCGGCAAUGUGCUUUUGCACAUUGGGUAGGGGAGCGUUCUGUAAGCGGUUGAAGGUGUGUGGUAACGCAUGCUGGACGUAUCAGAAGUGCGAAUGCUGACAUGAGUAACGAUAAAGGGGGUGAAAAACCUCCUCGCCGGAAGACCAAGGGUUCCUGUCCAACGUUAAUCGGGGCAGGGUAAGUCGACCCCUAAGGCGAGGCCGAAAGGCGUAGUCGAUGGGAAACGGGUUAAUAUUCCCGUACUUCUUACAAUUGCGAUGGGGGGACGGAGAAGGCUAGGUGGGCCUGGCGACGGUUGUCCAGGUUCAAGUGCGUAGGCUUAAGAGUUAGGUAAAUCCGGCUCUUUUUAAGGCUGAGACACGACGUCGAGCAUCUACGGAUGUGAAGUCAUUGAUGCCAUGCUUCCAGGAAAAGCCUCUAAGCUUCAGAUUGUAAGGAAUCGUACCCCAAACCGACACAGGUGGUCGGGUAGAGAAUACCAAGGCGCUUGAGAGAACUCGGGUGAAGGAACUAGGCAAAAUGGUACCGUAACUUCGGGAGAAGGUACGCUCUCGACGGUGAAGUCCCUCGCGGAUGGAGCUAUUGAGAGUCGCAGAUACCAGGUGGCUGCAACUGUUUAUUAAAAACACAGCACUGUGCAAAAUCGUAAGAUGACGUAUACGGUGUGACGCCUGCCCGGUGCCGGAAGGUUAAUUGAUGGGGUUAGACUUCGGUCGAAGCUCUUGAUCGAAGCCCCGGUAAACGGCGGCCGUAACUAUAACGGUCCUAAGGUAGCGAAAUUCCUUGUCGGGUAAGUUCCGACCUGCACGAAUGGCGUAAUGAUGGCCACGCUGUCUCCACCCGAGACUCAGUGAAAUUGAAAUCGCUGUGAAGAUGCAGUGUACCCGCGGCUAGACGGAAAGACCCCGUGAACCUUUACUACAGCUUGGCACUGAACAUUGACCCUACAUGUGUAGGAUAGGUGGGAGGCUUUGAAGCACGUACGCCAGUAUGUGUGGAGCCGUCCUUGAAAUACCACCCUUGUAGUGUUGAUGUUCUAACGUCGACCCCUUAUCGGGGUUGCGGACAGUGCCUGGUGGGUAGUUUGACUGGGGCGGUCUCCUCCCAAAGAGUAACGGAGGAGCACGAAGGUGGGCUAAUCACGGUUGGACAUCGUGAGGUUAGUGCAAUGGCAUAAGCCCGCUUGACUGCGAGAAUGACAAUUCGAGCAGGUGCGAAAGCAGGUCAUAGUGAUCCGGUGGUUCUGAAUGGAAGGGCCAUCGCUCAACGGAUAAAAGGUACUCCGGGGAUAACAGGCUGAUACCGCCCAAGAGUUCAUAUCGACGGCGGUGUUUGGCACCUCGAUGUCGGCUCAUCACAUCCUGGGGCUGAAGUCGGUCCCAAGGGUAUGGCUGUUCGCCAUUUAAAGUGGUACGCGAGCUGGGUUUAGAACGUCGUGAGACAGUUCGGUCCCUAUCUGCCGUGGGCGUUGGAAGAUUGAAGGGGGCUGCUCCUAGUACGAGAGGACCGGAGUGGACGAACCUCUGGUGUUCGGGUUGUGUCGCCAGACGCAUUGCCCGGUAGCUAAGUUCGGAAUCGAUAACCGCUGAAAGCAUCUAAGCGGGAAGCGAGCCCUGAGAUGAGUCUUCCCUGAUACUUUAAGUAUCCUAAAGGGUUGUCGGAGACUACGACGUUGAUAGGUCAGGUGUGUAAGUGCUGUGAGGCAUUGAGCUAACUGAUACUAAUUGCCCGUGAGGCUUAACCAU
rnacentral:rRNA from 1 species